rnacentral:lncRNA from 1 species
AGUGAGAUGGGGUGGGGUGCACUGAGACCCAAGGCCGGGCUGCGGGAGUCCAGGUUGCCUGCCUACUGCUAGCUCUCAGUAUCCCCUCAGUUCGGCCCGCCCAGGAUAAGUUUCGGGAAGCAACUACACAUUUUUUCACUGAGGGUCUAGUCACGCAGGGCGGACAGUCCAGGUGUGACCUGCCCUGGGCGUUAAAUCAACUGAGGCUGAGGAGCACUAGGAUUCUGAGCUGAGGAUCAAGUGGACAAAUUCGUGCUGCAAGGAGGACAGAAGACUCCUGUGGAGGACAUUUUACAAAGUAAGGAGCAUCCUGAUUGCUGAACACGUGGAGGUGCCUGCAGAGCGUCACCCCGGACGGCGCAUGGACUCCCACAAUGCCUUGCCCUGUGCUUCUCUUCAUCUAAAUUGUCUUUUGUAUCCUUUA